CAGGAUAUAAUUUAAGCAGAAUAUUAGCUUUGGGGGUUAAUUGUGGGGGUUAAAUUCCCUCUGUCCUGA
rnacentral:tRNA from 1 species